ACGGCGCUGCCCAGCGCUCCUUCGUUUUUCACAGAGACGAUGAUAAGAGCCCCACUCCUGCUACUGCUGCUGGUACCGGCUGCAGGUUCCUUGGUGGGCACUGCCCGGCCUCGCAGGGCACUGCAGCCGGCAUCCCACCUGCAGCCCCUCCGGACAUCGGCCCCUCCGGUGGCCUCUGGUAGAGAGAGGUGCUGCGAAGCAGGCUUUCUGUACCCAAGGGCUCGUGAGGUUUGCAUGCGGUUUGAAGACUAAACCGAACCUGCCACGACUUAAGGGGCGGGGUGUCCCCGGGCUCCGGGCUCGGUUCACCUGCAUCCGCUUCCUCACGAGGGCACGUGACUCAUCUUCUGCGUUUUUGCUACGCGGUCCCCGCCUUUUCUGCAGGGGGUGGAGUAACAGCCUUCAAACUUUUAGUUUCUUGGUUUUGCUGAAUUUGAUCUGCAGAUAAAAUGAAUCAUUCUGAGUGAGUCCAUCCGGGCCCCCCCCCGCCCCCCAGCACUGCUGCCGAGAUUCCCCCGCGUGCUGUUGAGCCGAGCUCUGUGCCAGGCAGCUCUUCCUCCUCCUCUGGUGGCAGUGGCGGCGGCAGCGAGGGUCAGAGGGAGGACUGGGGAGGAGCAGGAGGAGCAGGGGCUCAGGCAGUGACUCUGGAAGCAGGGUGGUCCAUGGGGAGCCCCCCAGGCUUGCUCCCUGGUGCCAUCGCGGCUGGCGCUGCCCCCGCAGAGGCUGGGCUCCGGGCGUGUCCUCAGCCUUGGCCGGAAUGCACCCUCUUCCAGCUGCCCGGGGUCUCCUCAGGCACUUGAAGCGGCCUGGACUCACCCCAGGGAGGUGGCUUCCAGGCAGAACCCGUGUUCCUGUCGGUUCAGGUCCUUGCGGCCCAGGUUGAGGGCUAGUCAAGAAGCCGGCUCAGAGGGUUGCGGCCGGAGUGUGGCCGAGUCUUCAUCAGGACAGACACGUGUGUAUUCAGACCUUUUAUGGUUUUCAAGAAGGUGGCACCCUGGGCUUACAGUGGCCUUGGAAUUUUUAUUACGUUUCUUACCAGGGAUCUGUCUUCCUUUUGCUAUUUAAGUAGCAUCUUUUCAUUUCCUACUUUUUGAGCACUUAAAACCUCCAGGAAAGGGACCAGAAGAGCAGAGUGGAUGAUGACACGCCCUCUGCAGGUUCCGCGGUGCUGGCCCCUGGGACAUCCGCUCCGUCUCUUCUCCCCUCUUCCUGCUUCCUGCCCCGCUUCUGUGUGUGCGUGUGUGUAAUAUACGUGCAGAGUGUUCACACACACACAUUUUGCCACCAUCAUGACACUUCACUCCAGCGUGUAUUAGCUAAGAACACAAACGCAGCGUAGCGCUCGCACUUGGGACAUGUCCCGUCGGGGCUGUUAUCCCAAAACGGCAUCUGUUCUCAAACGUUGCCGAGUGUCCGAUCACGUUGCUUGCACUCUUCCCCUCUGUCCCCAGGUAGGAGCCCAUCAAGGGCUGCUGUCCCUGCUGAGCUGUUCCCGCGACGGCUGGUUGCCAGCUGGACAGCGGACUCACGGCGACAGGUGGGUGCAGGGGGACCCGAGUCUCCCGUCGAUCACGCAGGUUUCAGUUUGUCUCAGAACCGAGGAUGAGGCUCGUCCGCUUGGUUAAGGUGCCACUCUCCAGAUCCUCCGCUGUGAAGGCAUCUCCCCUUGUGAUUAACAGCUUACUUAGGAGGUGAUGCUCUGAGGCUGUGAAACCCGCCCCAGCCUUGCCCCUGACGGCUGGGCAUCCACUGCUCAACUGUUUUUGAAUGGUUUCUGUAAUGGAGACAAAGCGGCGAGUUUCUGUGCUGUGGUUUCUUUCUUGGUUAUCGCUUAGCGGUCUCCCAUCUUGAAGAACUUCUUCCGCACGUUUGAAUAAUUUUAGUAUCAGGGAGUUCCCUUUGUGGCUCAGUGUGUUAAGAAUCUGACUAGUAUCCAUGAGGAUGCAGGUUCGAUCCCUGGCCUCGCUCAGUGGGCGAAGGAUCUAGUGUUACCACAAGCUGCAGUGCAGGUCUCAAAUGUGGCUUGGAUCGGGCAUUGCUGUGGCCGAGGUGUAGGCCUGCAGCUGCAGCUCUGCCUCGACUCCGAGCUUGGGAACCUCCAUAUGCUGCAGGUGCAGCCCUAAAAAUUAAUUUCAGUAUCAGAUUACAUUAACGAUAUCUUUUUACUUCUAAGAAUUACAAUCCAUUCUGUCAUUAUUCACUGUGUUGUUCAAAGUAUUCCCAAUACAGCCACCGGGACCCUCUCCAGGCUGGCUUCUGGGUCUAUUUUUGUGUCCCAGUCAGUGUUGGAGAAAGAACACUGGUAUGUUUUAAAUUUUAUGUAUUUAUUUAUGUGGCUGCACCCAUGGCUUAUGUAAGUUCCCGGGCCAGGGAUCCAGUCAGAGCUGCAGCUCUGCAGAUCCUUGACCUGAAGUGCCACAGUGGGAACUCUAAGUGAUAUCUUUUAAAAGUUCAUUUUCUCUUUGUUGCUCGUGGAGCUGAUUUUGCUACACUGAUCUUGCCCCCUCAACAACCCUGCUGAACUCUUCAACUCGUUCUAAAAUGGUGUCUGGGAGUUCCUGUCACGGUGCUGUGGAAGCGAAUCCGACUAGGAUCCAUGAGGAUACGAGUCCUCGUUCGAUCCCUGGCCUCGCUCAGGGGGUUAAGGAAACGGCGUUGCCGUGAGCUGGGGUGUAGGUCGCAGGCGCGGCUCGGAUCCCACGUGGCUGUGGCUGUGGCGCAGGCCGGCGGAUCUAGCUGGGACUCUUCAUAUGCCGCGGGUGCGGCCCUAAAAAGACAAAAGACAAAACAAACUCAAGUGGGUUGGUGAAUUUACCAAUUUGUUGCAUUUGUUAGGAUGGCCGUGCCCUUUCCUCCUUUCAUAUAGUUUGCUGCGAUAAAUCACAGUCAGAUUUUGAAUAGGCGCCACCCCUGCAUUGUUGGUGUAAACCUUACUUGAUAUUUUCAAUGUAUUUUACCCCCAGCUUAGCAGUAUUUGGUUUAGCCUUCUGGUGUUUAGGCACGAGACUGGCUUUUAUUUCUCCUGUGCGGCAUUUCUCUAUUUCAUGGUCUCCUUGUCCCAAACCACGUGUACCCAGCAGCCUGUGCCGCUGCGUGUUCCGGUCUGGGGAGGAGGAUGGAGACGUGAGCAGAGGGGACUUGGGCCUGUCUUCUCAGGGCCGAGGAGCGGGGGUCUUAGAUACCGCGCGGUCCCCUGCAGGGGUGCAGCCCGGCAGUGUCUGGACUCUGGGAGAGGCGCCAAUGGGCUGCCCUCCCGGUCUUCUCACCAGACGCCUCCCAGCUGGGCCCCAAAGGGCUCUCGGGUAACGUCCUCGCGAUCUCAGGUCAGAGCCUUUGCUGUGGCCCGGAGGUUUGACUCUGCCUGCGGCCGCCGGGGGAGGGGGGGGGUCUGAGCACCAGGGGGUGUGUGAGUUGGGGGGAGGCUGCUGGGCGGGGCUUUGCAGGCUUGCUUUCUGUGCGCCUGCUCUCAGGGCUGGAGGAAGGCAGGCACAUGGAGCACCCGAGCACGAACCCCCUGCUCGAGGCCGGGUCAGGGCUGCCUCGGAUGUCCGCCUCGGUGCCCCUGAACCAAAUCGCUCCUUGCUUCACCCGAGAGUGUUUGCUUUCCCAACCCUGAGCUGCGGGACCGCGCUUGUGGGUGCUCACAAGGCGCUGGAGCGCAGCUGCUCAGGAUGCCGGGGUCUCCCCGGCUGCAGGAGGGUGCCUGUGAGGGUGAGCGAGUGUGCGUAGAGAUGUGCAAGGGAGCGCACGCGAGCGUGAGUGCCCGCGUGUCGUAUGAGUGCGUGUGCACGCGCAAGUGAGUGUGCACGCUUGUGAGCGUGCGUGUAGGAGUGCGCACGCGUGUACAUGUGUGCGUGGGCAGGGGCGGGCGGAGGCCAGCGGCCCCUCCCCUCCCCCCUCGCUCCCGCCCCGCCCUCCAGCCCCUGCGGUCCUGGGCCCGCCCUGCUUCCCCGCUUCCCAGCUUCCCAGCCCUUCUGCCCCGCUCUUUGUGUUUGCAAAGGCUCGCCUCUCCCCGCCGCUCUCUCGCUCUCUCCGAGCUGAAAUCCUCUCUGUCUUCAAGAUGCAGAUGAAAUGCCUUGUUCUCCCUGACGGGUCCCAGCCGGGGAUAAACAUUUCUUCCUGUUCAGACUUAGCCUGUCUGCCUUGAAUUAUGCAUGUGUGCCGCGGAGGGCUCCUUCAGGAGAGGGAUUAUGACUUAUUUAUCUUCGUGUUUCCCCCUCCCCCCUCCCCCCACCACCGAGGGCAGUGCCUGGCAAGCCGAAGGUGCUCGAUGAUUGUUUAUUAAAGUGGAUAUUAACUGCUCCUCCUUAUUCGUGUUCAGUGAGACUGUUCAGUUCCGGGAUAAGCGAUGGAAUCUUUGGAGGGAAUGGGAGUCUGCCGCUUACACCCUGAGGCUAAAGUCGUCCGACCCCUUUCAUCGCGUCUCCUUCCCCACCUGGAUCUGGCGUCGCCUCACUCCGCCUCCACGGUGGCUGCGCGGGCGCGGCCCCGGCGCGGUCGGUCCCAGUCCGCGGGCUCGAUGCGCGCACCCGGGACCGGGCACAGAUGCGCCGGGCUUUUGUGUGAAGCUUCAGCCGCGCUCCCAGGUCGGGGUGGUGAAAUGCUUUUAGCUGCAUUCUCAUGCCUGUCACACCUUCCAGCAGAAUUAGCGCAGGGCUCGAGACGUGAUUCCUAAACCCCACCAUGCCUUGAAUUAUCCCAAGGGGCGCUGGAAGUUUUCAAAACAAAGUUAAUUGCAAUUCCUGGUAAUCAUGCACAUAGUUAAUGCCACACCACACUGAGCCUAAGAUGAACGCUACAAAAAUCGAAGUGUCAGAACUCUGGGAAGAUUGAGAUGCAGAGCGGUGGAAUUAGUCUCUUCUGAAAAAAGAAAAAA
rnacentral:lncRNA from 1 species